rnacentral:rRNA from 1 species
GAUGAACGCUGGCGGCGUGCCUAAUACAUGCAAGUCGAGCGAACAGACGAGGAGCUUGCUCCUCUGAUGUUAGCGGCGGACGGGUGAGUAACACGUGGAUAACCUACCUAUAAGACUGGGAUAACUUCGGGAAACCGGAGCUAAUACCGGAUAACAUGUUGAACCGCAUGGUUCAACAGUGAAAGACGGUUUUGCUGUCACUUAUAGAUGGAUCCGCGCCGCAUUAGCUAGUUGGUAAGGUAACGGCUUACCAAGGCAACGAUGCGUAGCCGACCUGAGAGGGUGAUCGGCCACACUGGAACUGAGACACGGUCCAGACUCCUACGGGAGGCAGCAGUAGGGAAUCUUCCGCAAUGGGCGAAAGCCUGACGGAGCAACGCCGCGUGAGUGAAGAAGGUCUUCGGAUCGUAAAACUCUGUUAUUAGGGAAGAACAAAUGUGUAAGUAAUUAUGCACGUCUUGACGGUACCUAAUCAGAAAGCCACGGCUAACUACGUG